UUGUGGAGGAGGACGCCGAAGGUGGGGCUAAUGACUGGGGUGAAGUCGUAACAAGGUAGCCGUACCGGAAGGUGCGGCUGGAUCACCUCCUAACAGGGAGACAACAAAAUGUUUAAUAUUAUUAUUUUGUCACCUUAGGUCGAUCGGUAUCUCAUGUUUUUAAUUUAUUAAAAAUUUCAUUUCCUAAGUUUUUCUAGGUCACACCCAUUAUUUUUCCUGGGCCAUUAGCUCAGGUGGUUAGAGCGCACUCCUGAUAAGGGUGAGGUCCCUGGUUCAAGUCUAGGAUGGCCCAUAUCUCUAUGUUGGGGGUAUAGCUCAGUUGGUAGAGCGCCUGCUUUGCAAGCAGGAUGUCAGCGGUUCGAGUCCGCUUACCUCCACUGAUUACCACCUCUUCCAUAACCGGUAUAAGGGAAAUGUUUUGAGUAGUGAUCAAAUUCUGAAAGAUUCUAGCUUCCUAAUGAAACCAUUAAGAUGCUGGACUCAUUGAAUUAAUCUCAUUGUUUUCAGAGAACCUUGACAACUGCAUAGAUUAUUUUUAAAGACAAUAAGCAUCUUUAAUGAUGCAGAUUUAUUAUUUGUGCGAAUGCAUUAAUAACAAUUCUAUUAAGCUGAUGCUUCAAUUUUGAAGUUAUUGGUCAAGCUACAA
rnacentral:misc_RNA from 1 species